rnacentral:rRNA from 1 species
AUUGAACGCUGGCGGCAUGCCUUACACAUGCAAGUCGAACGGCAGCACGGGAGCAAUCCUGGUGGCGAGUGGCGAACGGGUGAGUAAUAUAUCGGAACGUACCCAGUCGUGGGGAUAACGUAGCGAAAGCUACGCUAAUACCGCAUACGAUCUAUGGAUGAAAGCGGGGGAUCGCAAGACCUCGCGCGAUUGGAGCGGCCGAUAUCAGAUUAGGUAGUUGGUGAGGUAAAGGCUCACCAAGCCGACGAUCUGUAGCUGGUCUGAGAGGACGACCAGCCACACUGGGACUGAGACACGGCCCAGACUCCUACGGGAGGCAGCAGUGGGGAAUUUUGGACAAUGGCGCAAGCCUGAUCCAGCAAUGCCGCGUGCAGGAUGAAGGCC